UCUCCGUUGGUGAACCAGCGAAGGGAUCAUUACAGGACUCGCAAGACUCCUACAACCCUGUGAACUUAACUAUAAGCACGUUGCUUCGGCGGGUGUCUCGGAGGGGGUUCUCCCUCCCCGAGACGCUAAACCCGCCGGCAGCCUACUAUACUCUGUCUCUUUGCGUUGGCAUCUCGAGUACAAUCAAACAAGUUAAAACUUUCAACAACGGAUCUCUUGGUUCUG
rnacentral:misc_RNA from 1 species